rnacentral:tRNA from 19 species
GGCCCCUUGGUCAAGCGGUUAAGACACCGCCCUUUCACGGCGGUAACAGGAGUUCGAGUCUCCUAGGGGUCACCA